GCAGUCGAGUGGGUUUAGACCCACGGCAGACGAGGUAGUAAUACACAGGAAUCUCCCCCAGAGUUAGGCAUAAUCCGUCGAAAGACGGGCUAAUUCCUAAUGGUAUCGCAAGAUUAAAGGAGCAAUCCGCUCUGGGAUGAGCCUGUGGAGCAUCAGCUAGUUGGUAGGGUAAUGGCCUACCAAGGCUAUGACGCUUAGGGGGGGUGAGAGCCUGUUCCCCACCGAUGGUACUGAGACACGGACCAUACUCCUACGGGAGGCAGCAGCCGAGAAUCUUCCGCAAUGGGCGAAAGCCUGACGGAGCGACGUCGCGUGGUGGAUGAAGUCCUUCGGGACGUAAACACCUUUUAUCGGGGAGAAAAUUUUUGAUAGUACCUGAUGAAUAAGGGGUUGCUAAACUCGUGCCAGCAGCAGCGGUAAUACGAGUGCCCCAAGCGUUAUCCGGAAUCACUGGGCGUAAAGGGUGUGUAGGCGGCUUGGUUAGUCUCCUGUUAAAACCCUCGGCUUAACCGAGGAGAUGCAGGAGAGACGGCCAAACUCGAGGAGGUAAGGGGUCUAUGGAACUCAUGGUGUAGGGGUGAAAUCCGUUGAUAUCAUGGGGAACGCCAAAAGCGAAGGCAAUAGACUGGUACCUUCCUGACGCUGAAACACGAAAGCGUGGGGAUCAAACGGGAUUAGA
rnacentral:rRNA from 1 species